CUAUUUAUAAACAGUUGUGAGCUUUGAAGAAUGUACUUUCACCUUUUUUUUUAUUAAGAUAUUUAUAAUUUUUUUAUUCUAUUAUUUUCUCUAAGAAUCGUUUCUUCUUUACCUUGUCCUUAUUUUAUUUUUGCAGAACCUUUGUAUAUUCUAUCUUCCGACGCUUACUCCCUCUCUCCCCUUUCUUUCUCUGUCUCUCUUUGCCUGAUCCUAAGGAAGGCUAGGUCGUGGGGAAAGGAAGGCUGGGUCACAUCAACCGAUUCGCAGAAGAUAGAUGAACUCAGAUUUCAGGACUUACUGUUUGCGUUAGAGGCGAAGGCGUUGACGUUUUCCCAUUGAGAUUUUGGGUGUUAGCAGAAGGGUGCAAAUCUAGCAUUCUUUGUGCAACCCAGAUUUUGACAAAGCCCAGAAAUCCGACGAAAAGGCCCCAAAUUUCGACAAAACCCAGAAAUCCGACGAACCUACUGCCACUCCUGUCCCAGAAAUCCCAAGAAGCUCAGAGUCAGAAAGGACGGAAGAGAGACGUGGCUAGGUCGGCGACGAAGUCGACAGGUAUAAUGUAUAAUUUAUUUAAUUGCUAAAGGCCAUUUUGGGUAUUGGAAAAUUUCGUUAAAGGUCUCAGCGCCUCUUGCCAAAUCGGUUUGCGCAGAAGCUGAGCAAGCAAAAAAAGCUGAUUUUUCAAAGCUGGGUUUUGUAGUUUUGUGUUUUUGGCUUUUUUUUUUCACCCAAAACUGUGAAAAAAAAACUAAAGUUGAAUGUUUACCAAACAUAAAAAAGCUCCCAGCUUUUUUUUAUACCCACUUUUUUCAGAAGCACCUCAGUACCAAACCAGGGCUUACUAUAUAAAAACAGGAGCUUUGAAGUUUAGAGAAUGAGAAGGUUUAUACUUUCCACUCUUUGGACUUUGUAGAGAGAGACAGAGAGAGAGCAUAUAAUAUCUAGUAUCUGGUAUUGUUUCAUAAAUAAUACAAAGAACCAUUUUUCUGAGUAUUUGUUUAGUACCCUUUUUCCCCUUUUUUCUUUUUUUUUUCCUUUCUUUUUCCUUUCUCCUUUUUUGCACCUCAUCACAUUUUCUUGGUGGGAUGUUUUAAUGGAGGAGAGAUGGGGGGAAAAAGGAAAAUUCAUCUUUUGGAUCCCAUUGAUAUUUAAUUUGGAGGUGGGGAAUAGGGCGACUCCAUAUUUGCUCCCCAAAAGUAGCACACUCUAUCUUAUAUUAUAGGGUUGGGGGGAGAGUGAGUGAGUGAAAGCAAAGAUUCAAUUUUUCUUUAGAAAUUGCAAUUCACAUUAAGCUCCUUUUUUUUUGCUUAAUUCAUUUGGGUUUUAAGUGUGGUUAUUGUUUUUAAGCCAUGGUUAAUUAAGGGUUAAUAGAUAAUUAGACACAUUAGGGUAUGAUUAGAUGUGGGGAAUGUGGGUGGGAGGGAGAGAGAGUUGGAGACAAACCCUUAUGUCUCUAUCUCCCUACAUCAAAUCAAAAAUGCCUUGUUUGCUGCAUUAUCUUCAACUUUUCUGCUGCACCACACCAACUUAUCUCUUCUUCAUUCGUCAUUCAAUUAUAAUAUAAUGAUAAUAUUAAUUACUCUGCUCUGACUUAAUACUUCUUCCAAGUUAAUUGAUAAUCUUAUAAACUGAUAGUGAUAUGCAAUUUGAUAUACACACACAUAUGUGCAUAUAUUAGUAUAUAUAUGUGUAUAUAUACUAGUUCUGCAGUAUAUAUAUGUGUAUAUAUACUCUAUAUAUUAUAUGAGGUUUAUAUAGCGCACACACAUAUCUGAUAGACUGAUAGUGAUAUGCAAUUGACCAAGUUAAUGUUGACUUAAUACUUCUUCCAAGUUAAUUGAUAAUCUGAUAGACUGAUAGUGAUAUUCAAUUUGAUAUACACACGCAUAUGUGCAUGUAUUAGUAUAUAUAUGUGUAUAUAUACUAGUUCUGCAGUAUAUAUAUGUGUAUGUAUACUCUAUAUAUUAUAUGAGGUUUAUAUAGCACAAAGCAAGCUAAGUCUGCAAUCACUUUCUGGCCUGCUUGGGGCCCUUUGAAGUUGGAUGAUUGCAUUUUGGGUAUGUCAGCUUUUUUGUCAUGUAUUUAUUUGUAGUCUACAUUUGGCAAAAGAUAUGAACUUGCCCAGCAUGGCUAGCUCAAUCCCAACCAACCAUGAGAGAGAGAGAGAGAGAGAGAGAGAGAGAGAGAGAGAGAGAGAGGGAUCAAAAGACUCCAACAAGAUGUCAUCCUCAAAGAAAAAUUUCUACAAUGCAAUUAUUUGAUUAAUGUCCACAAAGAUGGGCCCACCACAAUGAUCUUGUUUUCUUUUUCAGAAUGGAAUUUCGAUUUUGCUAAUUGUAGGAGCACUCACAGCCAGUGUGUCCUUGAGAUUGAGAGUCCUUUGCUCUGAUGAUAUUUUCUUUUCUUUUUUGUCUUUUGCUUUUGCAUAAUUAACAGGCCCAUCUCCUUCAAAAAGUGACUCAAUUUCUUAUAAAUUCGGCCUCCAUCAUCAAACUAAGAUGAAGAAAAAAUCCGCAGAUGUUCAGGCCCAAUUACAACUUGGAAGAGAUUAACGAACAGCCCACUUGGCCAAAUUCUCCCAUCUCAAAUCGCUGACGUGGCACGAUUGCCACACAGUAAGCUCAGCUCAAAACGCAGGAGGCAGGGAUACGAGAAGACGAGCGAGAAACGAACGUAACGAUAACGAACGAUGUCAGAAGCGAAGCAACCGACAACGACGGCGAAAUUGAGGGAGUGCGAUAGGUUGCAGAGCGCGCUAACGGAUUGUCACAAGCGGAUCGGGCCGGGUCUGGGUCGGGAGGCGGCGUGCCGGCACCUGAACCGGGGAUUGGCGGAGUGCUUGGUGUCGGUGGCGUGCCCGGAAGAGUGGGAAGCGGUUCGGAGCCUGUGCGGGAGUGGAGGAACGGGGCUGAAGCGGAGCCAGUGCCAGGAGGCUCAGCUGUCGCUCUCGGUCUGCCUCUCGUCGCACCAACACCGACUCAGCUCAAAUGCAGAUCAAUAGAAGAAAUGUUAUUUAAUUAUUUGUUCGUAGUUAGAAAGCAGAUUAAGAAAAGGAAAAAAAAAAUGUAAUUUGUUUGAUUAAGCUUUUCUUUUUGUGUGUGUGACUGAAUUACUGAGAAUCAAGAUCGCACUUUCAGAA